GAUGAACGCUGGCGGCGUGCCUAAUACAUGCAAGUCGAGCGAACGGACGAGAAGCUUGCUUCUCUGAUGUUAGCGGCGGACGGGUGAGUAACACGUGGAUAACCUACCUAUAAGACUGGGAUAACUUCGGGAAACCGGAGCUAAUACCGGAUGAUAUUUUGAACCGCAUGGUUCAAAAGUGAAAGACGGUCUUGCUGUCACUUAUAGAUGGAUCCGCGCUGCAUUAGCUAGUUGGUAAGGUAACGGCUUACCAAGGCAACGAUGCAUAGCCGACCUGAGAGGGACAUCGCCUAGACUGUCACUGAGACACGGCCGAGACUCCUACGGGAGGAAGCAGUAGAGACUCUUACGCGAUGGGCGAAAGCGUGACGGAGCAACGUCGCCUGAGUGCUGAUGGUCUUCUGACCCUAAAACUCUGUUAUUAGGGAAGUACAUAUGUGCAAGUACCUGUGAACAUCUUGACGGUACCUAAUCAGAAAGCCACGGCUAACUCCGUG
rnacentral:rRNA from 1 species